AACGAGCGCUGGCGGCAUGCCUAACACAUGCAAGUCGAACGAGACCUUCGGGUCUAGUGGCGCAAGGGUGCGUAACGCGUGGGAACCUGCCCUUAGGUUCGGAAUAACUCCCCGAAAGGGGUGCUAAUACCGGAUAAUGUCUUCGGACCAAAGAUUUAUCGCCUUUGGAUGGGCCCGCGUUGGAUUAGCUAGUUGGUAGGGUAAAAGCCUACCAAGGCGACGAUCCAUAGCUGGUCUGAGAGGAUGAUCAGCCACACUGGGACUGAGACACGGCCCAGACUCCUACGGGAGGCAGCAGUGGGGAAUAUUGGACAAUGGGCGAAAGCCUGAUCCAGCAAUGCCGCGUGAGUGAUGAAGGCCUUAGGGUUGUAAAGCUCUUUUACCCGGGAUGAUAAUGACAGUACCGGGAGAAUAAGCUCCGGCUAACUCCGUG
rnacentral:rRNA from 1 species